rnacentral:rRNA from 1 species
UACGGAGGGUGCAAGCGUUAUCCGGAUUCACUGGGUUUAAAGGGUGUGUAGGCGGAUAUUUAAGUCAGUGGUGAAAUCUCUAGGCUCAACCUGGAAACUGCCAUUGAUACUAUUUAUCUUGAAUAUCGUUGAGGUAGGCGGAAUAUGUCAUGUAGCGGUGAAAUGCUUAGAGAUGACAUAGAACACCAAUUGCGAAGGCAGCUUACUAAACGAUUAUUGACGCUGAGGCACGAAAGCGUGGGGAUCAAACAGG